rnacentral:rRNA from 1 species
UACGUAGGGGGCGAGCGUUGUCCGGAAUCAUUGGGCGUAAAGCGCGUGUAGGCGGCCCGGUAAGUCCGCUGUGAAAGUCCAGGGCUCAACCCUGGGAUGCCGGUCGAUACUGCCGGACUAGAGUUCGGAAGAGGCGAGUGGAAUUCCCGGUGUAGCGGUGAAAUGCGCAGAUAUCGGGAGGAACACCUAUGGCGAAGGCAGCUCGCUGGGACGUUACUGACGCUGAGACGCGAAAGCGUGGGGAGCAAACAGG